rnacentral:rRNA from 1 species
GAUGAACGCUGGCGGCGUGCCUAAUACAUGCAAGUCGAGCGAACAGACGAGGAGCUUGCUCCUCUGACGUUAGCGGCGGACGGGUGAGUAACACGUGGAUAACCUACCUAUAAGACUGGGAUAACUUCGGGAAACCGGAGCUAAUACCGGAUAAUAUAUUGAACCGCAUGGUUCAAUAGUGAAAGACGGUUUUGCUGUCACUUAUAGAUGGAUCCGCGCCGCAUUAGCUAGUUGGUAAGGUAACGGCUUACCAAGGCAACGAUGCGUAGCCGACCUGAGAGGGUGAUAGGCCACACUGGAACUGGAACACGGACCAGACUCCUACGGGAGGCAGCAGUAGGGAAUCUUCCGCAAUGGGCGAAAGCCUGACGGAGCAACGCCGCGUGAGUGAUGAGGGUCUUCGGAUCGUAAAACUCUGUUAUUAGGGAAGAACAAAUGUGUAAGUAACUAUGCACGUCUUGACGGUACCUAAUCAGAAAGCCACGGCUAACUACGUG